rnacentral:rRNA from 1 species
UACGUAGGGGGCAAGCGUUGUCCGGAUUCAUUGGGCGUAAAGAGCGUGUAGGCGGCCAGGUAGGUCGGUUGUGAAAACUGGAGGCUCAACCUUCAGAGGUCGACCGAAACCAUCUGGCUAGAGUCCGGGAGAGGAGAGUGGAAUUCCUGGUGUAGCGGUGAAAUGCGUAGAUAUCCGGAGGAACACCGGUGGCGAAGGCGGCUUCCUGGACCGACACUGACGCUGAGGCGCGAAAGCUAGGGGAGCAAACGGG